GGUUAAGCGAAUAAGCGUACACGGUGGAUGCCUAGGCAAUCAGAGGCGAUGAAGGACGUGCUAAUCUGCGAAAAGCGUCGGUAAGGUGAUAUGAACCGUUACACCCGACGAUAUCCGAAUGGGGAAACCCAGUAUCCAAUGGAUACUAUCAUUAACUGAAUCCAUAGGUUAAUGAGGCGAACCGGGAGAACUGAAACAUCUCAGUACCCCGAGGAAAAGAAAUCAACCGAGAUUCCCCUAGUAGCGGCGAGCGAACGGGGAGCAGCCCAGAGUCUUAAUCAAUAGCAGUGUCAGGAGAACGGUCUGGAAAGUCCGGCAGUAAAGGGUGAUAGCCCCGUAUCUGAAGAUGCUGUUAUUGUGAACUCGACGAGUAGGGCGGGACACGUGUUAUCCUGUCUGAAUAUGGGGGGACCAUCCUCCAAGGCUAAAUACUCCUGAUUGACCGAUAGUGAACCAGUACCGUGAGGGAAAGGCGAAAAGAACCCCGGCGAGGGGAGUGAAAAAGAACCUGAAACCGUGUACGUACAAGCAGUAGGAGCCUCUUUAUGGGGUGACUGCGUACCUUUUGUAUAAUGGGUCAGCGACUUAUAUUCUGUAGCAAGGUUAACCGUAUAGGGGAGCCGUAGGGAAACCGAGUCUUAACUGGGCGAAUGAGUUGCAGGGUAUAGACCCGAAACCCGGUGAUCUAUCCAUGGGCAGGUUGAAGGUUGGGUAACACUAACUGGAGGACCGAACCGACUAAUGUUGAAAAAUUAGCGGAUGACUUGUGGAUGGGGGUGAAAGGCCAAUCAAACCGGGAGAUAGCUGGUUCUCCCCGAAAGCUAUUUAGGUAGCGCCUCGUGAACUCAUCUUCGGGGGUAGAGCACUGUUUCGACUAGGGGGUCAUCCCGACUUACCAACUCGAUGCAAACUGCGAAUACCGAAGAAUGUUAUCACGGGAGACACACGGCGGGUGCUAACGUCCGUCGUGAAGAGGGAAACAACCCAGACCGCCAGCUAAGGUCCCAAAGUCAUGGUUAAGUGGGAAACGAAGUGGGAAGGCUCAGACAGCCAGGAUGUUGGCUUAGAAGCAGCCAUCAUUUAAAGAAAGCGUAAUAGCUCACUGGUCGAGUCGGCCCGCGCGGAAGAUGUAACGGGGCUAAACCAUGCACCGAAGCUGCGGCAGCGACACAAAGUGUUGUUGGGUAGGGGAGCGUUCUGUAAGCCUGCGAAGGUGUACUGUGAGGUAUGCUGGAGGUAUCAGAAGUGCGAAUGCUGACAUAAGUAACGAUAAUGCGGGUGAAAAACCCGCACGCCGGAAGACCAAGGGUUCCUGUCCAACGUUAAUCGGGGCAGGGUGAGUCGACCCCUAAGGCGAGGCUGAAAAGCGUAGUCGAUGGGAAACGGGUUAAUAUUCCCGUACUGGUGGUAACUGCGAUGGGGGAACGGAGAAGGCUAGGUUGUCCGGGCGACGGUCGUCCCGGUUCAAGCAGGUAGGCAGAGUGAUUAGGCAAAUCCGGUCACUUAAUGCUGAGAUGUGAUGACGAACCACCAAGGUGGUGAAGCAAUUGAUGCCCCGCUUCCAGGAAAAGCCUCUAAGCUUCAGGUUACCAACAAUCGUACCCCAAACCGACACAGGUGGUCAGGUAGAGAAUACUCAGGCGCUUGAGAGAACUCGGGUGAAGGAACUAGGCAAAAUGGUGCCGUAACUUCGGGAGAAGGCACGCUGGCGGUAAGUAAAGUCCCUCGCGGACAGAGCUGAAGCCAGUCGAAGAUACCAGCUGGCUGCAACUGUUUAUUAAAAACACAGCACUGUGCAAACACGAAAGUGGACGUAUACGGUGUGACGCCUGCCCGGUGCUGGAAGGUUAAUUGAUGGGGUUAGCGUAAGCGAAGCUCCUGAUCGAAGCCCCAGUAAACGGCGGCCGUAACUAUAACGGUCCUAAGGUAGCGAAAUUCCUUGUCGGGUAAGUUCCGACCUGCACGAAUGGCGUAAUGAUGGCCAGGCUGUCUCCACCCGAGACUCAGUGAAAUUGAACUCGCUGUGAAGAUGCAGUGUACCCGCGGCAAGACGGAAAGACCCCGUGAACCUUUACUAUAGCUUGACACUGAACAUUGAGCCUUGAUGUGUAGGAUAGGUGGGAGGCUUUGAAGUGUGGACGCCAGUCUGCAUGGAGCCAACCUUGAAAUACCACCCUUUAACGUUUGAUGUUCUAACCUAGGCCCAUAAACUGGGUCGGGGACCGUGUCUGGUGGGUAGUUUGACUGGGGCGGUCUCCUCCUAAAGAGUAACGGAGGAGCACGAAGGUUGGCUAAGCAUGGUCGGACAUCAUGCGGUUAGUGCAAAGGCAUAAGCCAGCUUGACUGCGAGAGUGACGGCUCGAGCAGGUACGAAAGUAGGUCUUAGUGAUCCGGUGGUUCUGAAUGGAAGGGCCAUCGCUCAACGGAUAAAAGGUACUCCGGGGAUAACAGGCUGAUACCGCCCAAGAGUUCAUAUCGACGGCGGUGUUUGGCACCUCGAUGUCGGCUCAUCACAUCCUGGGGCUGAAGUAGGUCCCAAGGGUAUGGCUGUUCGCCAUUUAAAGUGGUACGCGAGCUGGGUUUAGAACGUCGUGAGACAGUUCGGUCCCUAUCUGCCGUGGGCGUUGGAAGAUUGAGAGGGGUUGCUCCUAGUACGAGAGGACCGGAGUGAACGCACCACUGGUGUUCGGGUUGUCAUGCCAAUGGCAUUGCCCGGUAGCUAAGUGCGGAAGAGAUAACCGCUGAAAGCAUCUAAGCGGGAAACUUGCCUCGAGAUGAGUCUUCCCUGUCGCUUUAAGCGACCUAAAGGAACGUUUAAGACUAAGACGUUGAUAGGCUGGGUGUGUAAGCGUAGCGAUACGUUGAGCUAACCAGUACUAAUGAACCGUGAGGCUUAACCUG
rnacentral:rRNA from 1 species